rnacentral:tRNA from 1 species
GCGCGAGUAGUUUAGCCUGGUUAGAAUGGAGCGUUGCCAACGCUUUGACCCGGGUUCGAAUCCCGGCUCGCGCA